UACGAAGGGGACUAGCGUUGUUCGGAAUCACUGGGCGUAAAGCGCACGUAGGCGGCUUCUUAAGUCAGGGGUGAAAUCCUGGAGCUCAACUCCAGAACUGCCUUUGAUACUGAGGAGCUUGAGUCCGGGAGAGGUGAGUGGAACUGCGAGUGUAGAGGUGAAAUUCGUAGAUAUUCGCAAGAACACCAGUGGCGAAGGCGGCUCACUGGCCCGGUACUGACGCUGAGGUGCGAAAGCGUGGGGGGCAAACAGG
rnacentral:rRNA from 1 species